CUAAACCUAACUAAUUUCUAGAUGCUUGCCAUUCAUCAAACAUUUGGUUGGCUAGUUCCAUCCUCCAAGUAGCCCAUGCAUCCGAUGGAUGAAUAUUUACGAUAUUCGGCUCAUCGUCAUCUAUCACAUUACUAGGUAAUCCUUCUCCCAACUCCGCUUCAAUAGGAUCAAGACUCAUAUAGGUUCGAAAAAAAUUAUGGAGCAAACAACAUGCAAUAAUGAUUCUAUUGUGCACCCUCACAGGAUAGAAUGAUGGACUCCUAAGUAUUCCCCAUCUAAGUUUUAAUAACCCAAAGCAUCUU
rnacentral:lncRNA from 1 species